GUCUUCGUAGUAUAACAAAUACCCCGGCCUUGUAAACCGGAAAAGGAGAGAGUUACGCCUCCCUAAGACU
rnacentral:tRNA from 1 species